rnacentral:lncRNA from 1 species
AAUUUUUUUUUUGUUUCUUUCUUUUAUUAUAGGGGGAGGGGGCCUACAUGCAUAUUUUAAAAAUUUGUCCGAACAUGUAGCUAGGAUGGUAAGAUCUUAUCGCUGUGAGAAUAAAAGAAGUAAAUUUACAUAGAGCCAAAUGUUCUAAACAAUCAAAUUAGAGCCCACUUCAAAAAAUUCUCUGGAAGAGGUUGUUCUCUAUCUUCAAAUUGGUCAUCUCGACAUCAAGAUGCAUAGACAUGAGCAAAAAAUAGAUUUUAGGUGGGAAAUGCACCCUUAACUUGAAAACCUUAAAACUUGAUGGUCCAAAAAUACGUCACAAGAUGCACUAUUUUCAAAACUUGAAAUUCAUUUUUUUCGUAUGUCUAUACAUCUUGAUGUCGAGAUAAUCAAUUUGUGGAUAUUUGGGCAUCAAAACAACCUCUUUUAUUGAAAUUUUGAAGUAUGCUCUAAUUUGAUUGUUUAGAGCCUCGGCUCUACAUGAACUUUUUCUUAACUUUUUUUUAUAUAUAUAGCUGUUAUGGCCAAUCUCCCCUUCCCUAUCGUUGUACAAGGAUUGCUCUUGUAGUAUAUUUUUGCAAUAAAUUCAAACAAAAAAAACACGUUUCAUGGUAAUAAUUGAAUUGCAGAUUCCCUUAUCUUGGUAGUACAUAAUUUGUCUUCUAAGCAGUGUUUAAAAAAACGUCGAGUCGAACCGGACUCGCCCGGUUCGAUUCGGGAAUCGCAAUGGAUCGAUCGAAUCGGCGAAAAAAACGGGAUUCGUCCGGUUCUAGAGAGAAACGGACGAUUAUGUACAGUGACUCGCCGAUUCAUUGUACGGAAUCAGGGAAAACCGCACGAAAUUUUUUUUUUUUUUUUUGUUAAUCCAUGAUAGAUUGUUUUGUAAUACAUGAUCGAUUUUUUUGUAAUCCAUGAUCGAAUUGUUUUUUUUUUUUGUAAUCCAUGAUCGAAUUUUUUUCUUUUUUUUUUUUGUAACCCAUGAUAGAAUUUUUUGUAAUCCAUGAUCGAAUUUUUUAUAAUCCAUGAUCGAAAUGUAUGUUUUUUUUUCUUGUAAUCCAUGAUCGAAUUUUUUUGUUUUUUUUUUUUUUUCCAACACUGAUUUUCAUUUUCUUAUUUGCACUCAUGUGAAGAAUGUAGGCCGUAGAAAAGGAUGAGACUCAUAAAACAUAGCAAUGGGCUUCGAUAGUUUUUGACAGGGAUGAUAAUUUAUCCGGUUUGGAUCUGAAGCCUAUAUCCUAUUCUAAUUCAGGUGUCGAUCCAAGAUUUGGAUCCAAUGGGUCGGAUCUAGAUCCAAAAUGUGGAUCUGAGUAAUAAUUCAGAUCAGAUCCAAGUUUACAAGUGGAUUUGAUCCGGAUCUGCUUAUUUUAUUAUAUAUUAUUUUAUAUAUGUAAACUAAUUUAUAAAAUAAUUUUUUUGAUCCGAUCAGGUCUAGAUCCAGACCUAGAUCCCACGUAUACAUUUCAAAUUCGGAUCCGAGUAUCUCUGAUCCAACUCCCAUGUAUAAUAUUUAGAUCUGAAACCGGAUCCUAGUGGAUCCAACACUGAUGCUGAUCCUGAUCUAAAUCCAAUGUACACUUUGUAUCCGAAUCCAAAUAUUAUGGAUCCGAUUGGAUACAGAUCUAGAUCCAAAUCCUAUAUAACUUGUUCGAAUCUGAAUCCAGAUCUUAGUGGAUCCGGACCCAAUCCGUCCCAUUCUCAGCCCUAGGCUUUAGAUUUUGCCGCUUUUGUCUUUCGAUUCGCAAAAUGUCUUGUUGGCUGGGUAAUUUCUUGAUGCGAAUUCGCGUAUACUUCACAACAAUGUCCCAUGUGAGAGAGAGCAGAGUGAUAAUGGCACUAACCAAGAAAACAACGGAACAAACGUCAAGAAAAAAAAAUGAUGUGAUAAAAAAUUGGCACGGUUCAAGUAUUAUAUUAUAAUUGCGUACUUUUAAGGAUAGGAUCUUAUCGUUUUAAAAAGUGCACAUACUAAUUGAGAGGCUCAUUUUUUAUUGAUUUUCUUUUUGUCCAUAAUUUUUUUUUGGUUUCUUUCUUUUAUUAUAGGGGGAGGGGGCCUACAUGCAUAUUUUAAAAAUUUGUCCAAACAUGUAGCUAGGAUGGUAAGAUCUUAUCGCUGUGAGAAUAAAAGAAGUAAAUUUACAUAGAGCCAAAGGUUCUAAACAAUCAAAUUAGAGCCCACUUCAAAAAAUUCUCUGGAAGAGGUUGUUCUCUAUCUUCAAAUUGGUCAUCUCGACAUCAAGAUGCAUAGACAUGAGCAAAAAAUAGAUUUCAAGUGGGAAAUGCACCCUUAACUUGAAAACCUUAAAACUUGAUGGUCCAAAAAUACGUUACAAGAUGCACUAUUUUCAAAACUUGAAAUUCAUUUUUUUCGUAUGUCUAUACAUCUUGAUGUCGAGAUAGUCAAUUUUUGGAUAUUUGGGC